rnacentral:rRNA from 1 species
AUUGAACGCUGGCGGCAGGCCUAACACAUGCAAGUCGAAUGGUAACAGGAAACAGCUUGCUGUUUCGCUGACGAGUGGCGGACGGGUGAGUAAUGUCUGGGAAACUGCCUGAUGGAGGGGGAUAACUACUGGAAACGGUAGCUAAUACCGCAUAACGUCGCAAGACCAAAGAGGGGGACCUUCGGGCCUCUUGCCAUCAGAUGUGCCCAGAUGGGGUUAGCUAGUAGGUGGGGUAACGGCUCACCUAGGCGACGAUCCCUAGCUGGUCUGAGAGGAUGGCCAGCCACACUGGAACUGAGACACGGUCCAGACUCCUACGGGAGGCAGCAGUGGGGAAUAUUGCACAAUGGGCGCAAGCCUGAUGCAGCCAUGCCGCGUGUAUGAAGAAGGCCUUCGGGUUGUAAAGUACUUUCAGCGGGGAGGAAGGGAGUAAAGUUAAUACCUUUGCUCAUUGACGUUACCCGCAGAAGAAGCACCGGCUAACUCCGUG